rnacentral:rRNA from 1 species
AUUGAACGCUGGCGGCAGGCCUAACACAUGCAAGUCGAACGGUAGACAGAGAGCUUGCUCUCGGGUGACGAGUGGCGGACGGGUGAGUAAUGUCUGGGAAACUGCCCGAUGGAGGGGGAUAACUACUGGAAACGGUAGCUAAUACCGCAUAAUGUCGCAAGACCAAAGAGAGGGACCUUCGGGCCUUGUGCCAUCGGAUGGACCCAGAUGGGAUUGGCUUGUAGGUGGGGUAAUGGCUCACCUAGGCGACGAUCCCUAGCUGGUCUGAGAGGAUAAUAAGCCACACUGGAACUGAGACACGGUCCAGACUCCUACGGGAGGCAGCAGUGGGGAAUAUUGCACAAUGGGCGCAAGCCUGAUGCUGCCAUGCCGCGUGUAUGAAGAAGGCCUUCGGGUUGUAAAGUACUUUCAGCGAGGAUGAAGGUGUUGUGGUUAAUUCCUUUGCUCAUUGACGUUACCCGCAGAAGAAGCACCGGCUAACUCCGUGCCAGCCGCCGCCGUAA